GUUGCUCUGAUAAUCACACACCUCUCCGUGGCGAGCAGCAGGCAACGAUCUUAUAGUCGGCUAAGAUGUGAAG
rnacentral:ribozyme from 1 species